UUUAAAUUUUUUAUUAAUUUUAAAAUUCCAUUAGGCAAGGCAAGGCAAGUUUAUUUAUAUAGCACAUUUAAUACACAAUGGUAAUUCAAAGUGCUUUACAUAGAAGAGAUUAAAAUAAGAAUAAAAAAUAAAAAAAUAAGAAUAAUUGAAACAGUUUAGAAUAUAGAAUAAAAUAAAAUACAGUACAAACAGUCGGACACACAGUGGCACAGUGCUCAUUCAGUAAAUGCACAGCUAAACAGAUGUGUUUUGAGUCUGGAUUUGAAUGUGACUACUGUAGAAGCACAUCUGAUCUCUUCUGGAAGCUGGUUCCAGCUGCGGCUGGCAUAAAAGCUAAAAGCAGACUCUCCUUGCUUAGAGUGAACCCUUGGUAUUUCUAGCUGAUGUGAUCCUAAUGAUCUGAGUGAUCUGUUGGGUUUAUAUUCAGUGAGCAUAUCUGCUAUAUAUUGAGGUCCUAGCCCAUUGAGUGAUUUAUAUACCAGUAAUAAUACUUUAAAAUCAAUCCUAAAUGUAACUGGGAGCCAGUGUAAAGACCUGAGGACUGGUGUGAUAUGUUCAUAUUUUCUGGUUCUGCUCAGAAUCCUGGCAGCAGCGUUCUGUAUGAGCUGCAACUGUCUUAUGGUCUUUUUGGGAAGGCCAGUGAGGAGUCCAUUACAAUAAUCCACCCUGCUGGUGAUGAAAGCAUGCACAAGUUUCUCUAGGUCUUGACUGGAAACAAAGCAUCUAAUUCUUGCAAUAUUUUUGAGAUGAUAGUAUGCUGAUUUAGUAAUUGCUUUGACAUGACUACUGAAACUAAGGUCUGACUCUAGAGACACACCAAGAUUCCUGACUUGAUUUUUAGUUGUUUGACCACUAGCAUCAAGGUAUGCAUUCACCUUGAGAACUUCAUCUUUGUUUCCAAAGACAAUGACUUCAGUUAUGUCUUUGUUUAACUGAAGAAUGUUUUGGCACAUCCAACUGUUAACUUCAUCAAUGCAUUGGCACAGGGAGUCAAUGGGGCUGUAAUCGUUAGGAGAUAGGGCUAAGUAGAUCUGUGUGUCAUCUGCAUAGCUGUGGUAAGCAAUUUGGUUCUAUUAUUAUUGGCUCAUUGGGAGCAUAUACAGGUUGAACAGGAGUGGCGCAAGAACUGAGCCUUGAGGGACUCCGCAUGUCAUGGACGUCCACUAAGACUUGUGGUCGCUAUACAUAAUAAGCUCUUCCUUCUAAGUAUGACUUGAACCAUUUUAGGACCAUCCCAGUAAGCCCCACCCAGUUUUCCAGCCUGUCAAGAAGUAUGUUGUGAUCGACAGUGUCAAAUGCAGCACUGAGGUCGAGUAGUACCAGUACUGAUAAUUUGCCUAUAUCAGUAUUUAAGCGAAUAUCGUUUAUUAUCUUUAUGAGCGCUGUCUCUGUGCUGUGAUGCGAUCGGAAACCAGAUUGAAAAUUGUCAAAGUAUCCAUUUGAGUUCAAGAAUUUGUUCAGCUGAUUGAAGACAACUUUUUCAAUGAUCUUGCCUAUGAAAGGAAGAUUUGAGAUCGGUCUAUAGUUGCUUAAUAUGGUCUUAUCCAGAUUGCUCUUUUUCAAGAGGGGCUUGACAACUGCAGUUUUCAGGGAGUUUGGAAAACUCUCAGAGAGAAGUGAGGAGUUUAUCACUUCUAGGAGAUCUGCUUCUAAACAGUUGAACACACUUUUGAAAAAAGAUGUGGGAAGUGCAUCAAGGGCGCAGGUUGAUGUUUUAAGGUGCUGUACGGUUUCUUCCAAAAUUUUGCCAUCAAUUUCUUUGACAUCAGACAUAGUAACUACUUUCUCAGGUUGUGGUUUGAUGUGUUUGACCCCAGCACAACUCAUGGAUGUGCUGAUCACCUUUUUGAUAUUAUUGAUUUUUUCAGAGAAGAAAGAAGCAAACUCACUGCACUUGCUGUCUGAGAGCAUUUCACUGGGAAUCUGGCUUAGGGGGUUGUCAGUCUCUCUACAGUCGCAAAAAGAGUGCGUGUGUUGUUUAAGUUGCUGUUUAUAAUAUUCGAGAAGAAAGUCUGUCUAGCUUUGCCUAGUUCCAUAUUAAAAGCAUGGAUGCUGUCUUUGUAGAUGUUAUAAUGGACUACAAGUUUAGUCUUCCACUACAUGCGCUCUGCUUUUCUGCAUUGUCUUUUCAUAUUUUGCACUGCUGUUGAGUUUCUCCAAGGUGCUUUUUGUCUGCCACUAUUCUUCCUGACUUUCACAGGAGCAAUAUCAUCAAUUACACUUUUAACUUUUGAGUUAAAAGAAUCAAGGAGAAAAUCAACAGAGUCAGCAGAUAUACUUGGUGUUAAAGAUAUAGCCUUCAUAAAUAGUACACUAGUGUUCUCAGUUAAGCAUCUCUUCUUGACAGACACAGAUCUAGCUUCAAUGGCAGGAGAGAUCAAUAUAUCAAAGAAAACACAGAAAUGAUCAGACAGUGCUACAUCCUUAAUAACAAUCGAUGAAAUGUUUAGACCCUUACUGAUAAGUAAAUCUAGAGUGUGUCCAUGAUUGUGUGUGGGUCCAUGUACAUGCUGAGUCAGAUCAAAAGUUUUUAAAACGAUUAUGAUUUCUUUUGUCAUAUUGGUUUCUGCAUUAUCUAUGUGAAUGUUAAAGUCUCCAGCAAUGGCAAAACAGUCAAACUCUGAGGUAAUUGUUGAUAACAGUUCUGUAAAGUCCUCAGCGAAGGCUGGAGAGUAUUUUGGAGGCCUGUAAAUAAUGAUAAGUAAAAUGCAUGGAGCAACUUUUAACACACUACCCAGAUAUUCGAAAGACGGGUAAUUCCCAAAUGAUAUUUGCUUACAUUGAUAGACAUCUUUAAAGAGAGCAGCUAAACCCCACCUCUCCUACCUUCUCUGCAGACACUCAAAUAAGUAAAGUUAGGAGGGGAUGUUUCAUUAAGGACUGUUGCAUUACAGCUGUCUUCUAGCCAAGUUUCAUUUAGAAACAUAAAAUCCAGGUUGUAUGUGCUUAUUAAGUCAUUGACUAGAAGUUAUUUAUUUUUAAGUGAGCGGAUGUUAAAAGUGCCAACUUAACAGUUUUUGUCCCCACAGCAGUCUUAGUUUGGCGUGUAAUAGGCACCAGAUUAGAUGGGUUUGCUGAACGGCUUUUGAAGGCCUUAGACUUUCUAUCAUGUAAUCGAACAGCAAUAGAGGAAGAUACAGGCACACUGGGUUCCCGCUUGUUUGGUAAACAUUUGAGAAAGUUACUGUUAUCAUAGCGGGGACCCAACACAUAUCACUGAGAGCUGGUAUCAGUUGUUUUUGGUUCACCUCGAGCAGAUGGAGGAGGGUGUGAGCCCUGGCAUUGUGGCAGAGGUCGAAGAGCUCUCACAGGAGGAGGGGGAGGGCGAGCUGGGCCCGCAGGUGCUUGAGGGGCCUGAUGUUUUUUGCUUGAUAUCUGGGGGCUUGCAGCAAAAGAGUGGAAUAGUUUGGUUCCAGCAUAAACCAGUUCUUCCAUUUUCUCUGAGAAACACAGAUGUGGAGAUGCUGGAGAGAGGGAUAACGUGUCUGGUGAGAGGGGCUGUUGCUCUAGUGUUAUUGGAGGCUGUAAUAUGCUGUCCUGUUUUCCCUGGGUGUUUUCCAGAAAGUCGUCCUUGGGUGCUGAAUCUUGGAGCAGUUCUAAUAUGUCACAGUCUGUCUGUGGUGAACUUUGUGGGCAGGGCUCAGAUGAGAUUGUGUCCAUGAGCAGAAAUUGUUGUGGCUGAGUGGUG